rnacentral:lncRNA from 1 species
ACAUGCAUAUAACAAAUAGCGCGACAUAAACAUUUCAAUGAUUAUCAAUGCCAGAAACUAAGUGGUUUUUACACCAAGUACAAAUUCCCUGCCCAUACAAGGAAUCAUUCAACUCAGCUGCUGACCUGAGUCCUCAAUUGAAAACCCAUAUAAUCUUAACUUUCUCUUUUCCUAAUACGAAUUUUCUUUAAUCCGUAUCUUAACAUUUUCCACUCAUUUCUGAGUUUACAUUGUACCAUUUCAUAGUACCUUCUCUUUAUAGCAUCAAGCUAUAUCAUUCCAAUCACUUAACAAAUCAUAUGUUAUUCAAUGAUUUAAUCUGAUCACGUGGUGAUCUUAUUUCGUAAUCAUUUCUCCUUAUGAUUACGAUCGUUUUAUUUUACGAUCUUCUUAUUCUUCUCUUUAAUCAUAUUAUAUUAUGAUUUUAUUUACACUUUUCAUCUUAUAGACAUAGUCUAUUUAUCUUCACUUUUCAUCUCUAUUACUGGAGUUAGGUAACUCCGGUUUCUUAUUCUUAUAGCUCUUUAAGAUUCUUCAUUGAAUCUUCUUUAUCUUUCUCUUUACUUAAUGAUGAAUUUCCAUAAACUCAUCUCUUAUCGCUUAAACUCUAUUCGAGUUUAUUACUUAUCACCUUUGUGGUUAUAGCCUAAAGUACACCUACCUAAGGUUUAUAACCUACAGCUUUGAUACCAACUGUAGCAUCCCCGAAUCGCCGCUGAUCCGGUACGCUAUUUCUACAAAUAUUGCGGAAGAUAUAAACAUAAAUUGUUUAUACAUUAAACUUUUACACAUCAUUCCCAAGGUCUACAACCUUAACUUAACACAUACCUUCAAUAUCGUAGAAGAUUUACAAUACUAUUUUCAUCAGAAAAUUUAAUAAAUUUAACUACAACAUAAAGAAACUUUGCACUUUGUCUUUGCCUCUGUCCUUAUUCAAGUCUUCAUCUUAAUCUGAAAAUUUUAUCAUGAUAUAGCAAGGGUGAGCAACAAAUUUGCCCAGCAAGUUUUACAUACAAAGGAGAUAUAUCAUGAUUGAAAAGAAUGGAUAAGCUUUCAAGUUUUCAACAAUAUAAUAAUUGUGAAAUAACAUGAAUCAA